CAGAGUUUACGAUAAAAACUCCCAAACCCCUUGUGAACCUACUUUUUUUGUUUGUUGCCUCGGCAGGCACUGAGGGUCUCCCGUUAAGGGAGGUCAGCCUGGCCUGCCGGCGGUCUACGACACGAAUUUUGCUUAGCACGUGGUUAUUCUGAUCAGUUAAGACAUAAUAUCUUA
rnacentral:misc_RNA from 1 species